AAUCCCUUGGCGCAACGGUAGCGCGUCUGACUCCAGAUCAGAAGGCUAAAUGUUCAAAUCACUUAGGGGUCA